rnacentral:rRNA from 1 species
AUGAUGAUGGGGUUCAUGGGGAAGAGGAAGGAGCUGGAGCAGGUGGUCGACGGCCUCUGCGACUUCUCCCUCUCCGGCCCCGCCGCCAAGUGCCGCCGGCUGGACCCUGGUCUCCCACCUAUUUUGGAAGAAGAACUACCGUGUCCUUCCAUCCCAUAUCAACAUCAGAUGUUGGGAGAGGAAAUCAACAGUGGUAUUAACAUGCCCAUUGUGGAAGAUAUGAUAGAAGGUGCCAUGCCAUCUCAUCUGUCUAGCGAGGACAAGGCACUUGUUAUAUACAAGCCAGUAAACAAGCCUACCCUCUUUGGUCUCAGUAUCGCAAACCCUUCAAUCAUAGUCAGUUCAGACUUGAUACGUGGAUUAAAGAAUCAACCUUUCAAUCAGGGGAACUGUCAUGGGCUGGAGGACAAUUCUCCUGAGCGCAGCAAUUGCUUGGCCUUAGUUCCUUGGACGCCACAGCGGAUUGCCAUGACAUCUGAUUGGUCCGCAUCCCCACCAGAAAGCACACAAAAUGCUGAAGAGCCAAUGGACGCUGAUGAGACAGAAGUUAUUUCUAUGGACUUUGAGGAAGCGCCUCAAGCAACUCCGAGGGGAAUCGACGUGGAUAACAUUCACCAGUGGCACCAGCACUGCAUGGACCCACCAUCGCUGCCGAACGCGUCAGCGCCAGUCAUGUGGUCGUGGUGA